UAUCAGCAAAGCUCUCAUCUUCAUGAAGUUUGAAGGCAAGUUAAAAUACAUAGCAGGCAGGAUUUGAACUUUGCACAGAAAGGAGUAGAAUGCCUCGGUGGAAGCAGGCAGGAGAGAAAAAGAAAUUAAAGGGAAAAUAAAUUUUGCAGAUUCACUGAGAGAACUGUCCACAUUCUAUCACAAGGAUGGAAAAAG
rnacentral:lncRNA from 1 species